UAGCUAGCCGGAGAAAGUCAGAUAUCACCGCCGCUGGUGUGUUGUUGACCACCUGUUUAUAUACUAUCUAUGGGGGGGAAUACAUUGCGCUCAUUCACCUGAACUGCUAGCAGGGACCAGAGCAGCUGGGACAGAGGUUCAGAGCAGUUACUAUUUUGUGUUUUAUCAAAAAUUCAGGAACAAUUCAGUCCGCAGUUUCUUUUGCAAACAAAUUUACAUAAUAACGUCAUAUGUGAAAUAUUCUCCUAGUUUUGACAGUCAAACUGUGUACCAUGACAUGCUCUGGUGAUUGAACCCUGGUGUAGACCGACAGUUUCACCAUCUACCUACUAAUUCCACCUACAUGACUUGUGAGCCGUUCAUCUAAUCGAUUACACAAAUGGAAGGUCGAUUCUAACAUGCUUGAGAAAGUCUAGUUCAAACCUUAAUGCGAUUAAGACAUGUAACAUAACAAUAUUAAUAAAUGAUGCUUUCCUAAACCUCAGCACACCCUCUUUGCUGUCUUGUGACAUGAGACCCUAACUUUCAGCAGUUUUUUAAAUUAUGUAUUUUAUAUCUUUAUUAUAUAUUUUCAUGGCUGUCUUCCUGCCUGUCCAUGUGGACGUUUUGAGUUUGUAAGACCUUUACCUCUGGUCUGCUUUCUCAACAACAGUUUGACUGUACUUGAACUUUUGAGCAUCAAUCAGACAAAUCUACACUUAGGCGAAUGUAGUUAGAAUUUUCCAGUAGCAGCUGGAAGGCAUUGCUGAUGAGAGAAAUGUCUACAAUACCUGCUUAAGAGGUUCUCUACUCAACCGGACCCCAGAUUAUCAGAAAAAUGGAUAGAUGGAUGGCUGGUAAAUAAAGACACAUUCUCAUAGUCACACAAGUACAACACAACUAAUGCACAAUGUUUGCUGCGCCAUUUUUUUCUAAUUAAAUUUGUCUGUUCCAGACCACUUGCGAUCUCACUUCCCUGCAAAUAAUCAUUUCGGUCAUUUGUCUGCAAAAGCACAAAUACUAUUGUUUUUACCCAGUUUGGUUUACAGAUGUAUCCAAUGUCAAUGUGGAUAUGUGUAUGUGUGUGUCAGUGUGUCGGCAGCGUAAAGUGAGUGAGAGAGAAAAAAAGCGAGCAAAGUCAAGAGGGGAUGAAUGAGUGUUGUGAAGAAAGAUUUUCCAAUUUAAGAAAAGUAUCGGCCAUUAUGUGGUGGUCAGUGUUUAUACUGUGGUCAAUGCAACAAAUAAAUCAACGUAUGGACACUGAGAAGGGUAGAAAUAUUCUGGUUCCUUGUGAAACUGUAACAGGCCAGAGAGGGAUCCCUCACAUGUGGCUCUCCGAGGUUUCUAUGUAUUUUUUUCGCCCUGUUAAUGGGGUUGUUUUGGUAGUUUUUCCUGACUCAUGUUGAGGGUGAAGAGAAGAGGAUGUCACACCUUGUUAAAGCCCUAUGAGACAAAUUGGGAUUUGUGAAUAUGGGCUAUAUAAACACAAAUUUAUUUAUAGAUUGUGCGUAAUAUCUUUUCCAAUGACAGUAACAAUCCAUCAGUGCUUCACAUUAUGAUUGACAAUAUGAUUGUUAGACAGACAUAAGUAGAAGAAAAAAAACAAGAGCAAAGAAAAUAAAUAAACAGUUAACAGUAAAAUACAUUUAGACUAAUGCACACCUUAAAAUGGAGACAAAUAAAUGAAGAAAUAGAACAACUGUAGGAUUGUAGAAUAAAAAUCUAAAUUAAGAAACUGAAAUAAAAGAAAAUAAGGGGCAAAGAAGAACAAAAUAGUAAAAUAUAGUUAAAUAGAAGUUGAGAUAGAAGACAUAGUAGAAUAAGUAAAAGUAUUUAAUAAUGAUAAAACAUAGCAAACAGUUAACAAAUUGUCACGUGUCGAAAAGACCAUAAGUAGUUAAAAGCAAGACUAAAGAGGUCAUUUUAAGUUUACGCUUAAAAAUCUGCUCAGGGCAUUAAAAACUCAAAAGCUGACUCACCAAAAGUUUUCGUCCGGCACUUUGGAACAAUAACAAAGACUUGUACCAGAGAACAUGAACAUUUUAUUCUCAUUAUAUAUGCUUCCACUAGGAAACAUUAUCAGGACACACUCGGUAAAUUUCCACUGCUAUGCGGAUGACACCCAGUUAUAUUUGUCAAUAAAACCUGAACAAAGUAAUCAAUUAACUAAACUUCGAACAUGUCUCAAGGACAUAAAAACCUGGAUGACCCGCAAUUUUCUCUUAUUAAACUCACACAAAACAGAGGUUAUAAUACUUGGCCCCAAACACCUUAGAGAUGCAUUAUCUAAUGAUAUAGCUGCGCUAGACGACAUUGCCCUUGCUUCCAAUGAAACAGUCAGGAACUUGGGAGUGAUCUUUGAUCCUGAUUUAUCCUUUAAUUCUCACUUAAAACAAAUUUCUAGGACCGCUUUUUUCCACUUACGUAAUAUUUCCAAAAUUAGACAUGUCCUUUCCCAAAAAGAUGCAGAAAAACUAGUCCACGCCUUUGUUACAUCGAGACUGGACUAUUGUAAUUCAUUAUUAUCUGGCUCCAGCAGUAAGUCGUUAAAGACUCUACAGCUUGUCCAAAAUGCCGCAGCACGUGUCCUGACGAGAACAAAGAGAAGAGAGCACAUUUCUCCAGUAUUAGCGUCGCUACACUGGCUUCCAGUUAAAUCUAGAAUAGAAUUUAAAAUUCUCCUCCUCACCUUCAAGGCCCUUAAUAAUAUGGCGCCUUUUUACCUUAAAGAGCUGUUAGUACCUUAUAAACCCGCUAGAGCACUCCGCUCCCAGAAUUCAAGCCUACUUGUCGUCCCUAAAUUCUCUAAAAAAAGAGUAGGAGCCAGAGCUUUUAGCCAUCAAGCCCCUCGGCUGUGGAAUAAUCUACCACUUUCAGUUCGGGAGGCAGAUACCAUCUUUUCAUUUAAGAGUAGACUCAAAACCUUCCUUUUUGAUAAAGCUUGUAGUUAGAGCUAAUUAGUGCGCCAGAACGUUACUUGUUCUAUUUUAUGACACAUGACACACGGAGCUUCUCUUUCCAGCUUCUCCUUCCUCUUCUCCAUCCCUAUCCCCCUUCCCCGGAAUCCCUUUGCUUUAUCACCCGCAGAUCCAGGGCCUCUGUGGCCGCACCAUGGAUUGCGGUUUGUGGAUCGUACACAGGGGUCGCGGUGGUGGAUCCAUUGUGGCGGAUUCUGGGCUGAUCGUGGUGCUGGUGGCGGACCCUGUGUCGCGUUGGCAUUGGGCACGGGCGGUGGACCAGGACCGCGGUGGUGGCUUGUGAUGGGUCCUGGUGGUCGGCGGUGGACGGUGACUGAGGACUGGAGUGGCGUCUGGUCUGGAUGGUGGAUCGUGGUCUAGAUGGUUGCUGAGCAUGGACUGUGCUUGCAGCGGGACUGCUUGGCAUGUCAUGUUGGGGUUGUCCUUCGGGAUGUCUACCCUCAUCAAAUGCUGCUAGAGACUUUGAUUAUUGAUGAUGUUUUCCUGCACGUGGCAUCUAUUGCACUUCUGUCCGUCCUGGGAGAGGGAUCCCUCACAUGUGGCUCUCUCUGAGGUUUCUACAUAUUUUUACCCUGUUAAAAGGGUUUUUAGUAGUUUUUCCUUACUCUUGCUGAGGGUUAAGGACAGAGGAUGCCACACCCUGUUAAAGCCCUAUGAGAUGAAUUGUAAUUUGUGAAUAUGGGCUAUACAAAUAAAAUUUGAUUGAUUGAUUGAGGGGCCGAGCUGGUUCAUACAUUCUCAGCAUGUCAGUCAAAUAUACUAGGGCAAGACCAUGAAGUGCUUUAAAACAGGCCAAAAAAAUGGCAGCCAAUGUAGGGAUUUUAGGACUGGUGUAAAAUGUUCUCUCCUUCUAUUCCUGUUCAGAGUCCUGGAUUAAUCCAACCAGAAGGUUGGCAGUUCCCAGUCUUCCUCAUCUGCAUGCCGCAGUGUUCUUGGACAAGAUGCUGAACCCAGAAAUUGCCCCAUAUAGAAAAAGUGCUACACAUAGUCAUAGACGGACUGUAUGAGUGUUUGAAUGGCGAACUAUACUGAGUGGUCAGCAAGACUAGAAAAGCUUUAUAUAAAUGCAAACCAUUUACAAUUUAUAACUGUUUUGGUAGACCAGAUAGGAGAGCAUUACAGUUAUCCAGCCUGCUUGAUCACAGUGCCAUUUAAUACCACAAAUGUCCAAACUGAGUACAUAUAAUUAAAGUUCCUCUCCUGGCAUUUAUUAAGCCCCCUUCCUCUCCGUCACAUGUAAUAGAAAUGCAGAUAAAUUUGAGGUGCCACAGAGGACAGUGGAUGGUGCCUUUUUUGAGAGGAAGGAGUUAUAGUAUUAAACUGACCAUGUUUAACAAGCACCCUAAGGUGUAUUUUCUGCAUAAAUAGAACUAAGACAGCUAAACGCUGUUGCAUUGUUUGUAGUUCAAAUCUUUUCCCUUUUAAGAUUUAUGGUGCACUGUGCUAUCACACACAAAAAUGUGAAGGAUUACUUCAAGACGAUAAAGUUCAACUUUCUGGUCGUUAUUAAACGCCACAACUCAGGAACAGACGGGGGGAUUGUGACCAUAUUUCCUGCAACUUGACUGCAUACAACUCUGAUGCAGUAAUUCUAGUUGGUCAUUACAAUAGUUUCCUUGAUUCCCACAAAGCAGAGAAGCUGUGUUUGCUCUUUGCUAUUGUUGUUUCCAGGUGGGACAUGAACCUCUUCCUCCAACUGUGGGCACAACGAUGUUUGGAAGAAGAGUCUUAUACUUACCUGGCUUCUUCUCCUAUGUUUCACUGGACAUGAAUUAAGAGCAGCCGACAGGAGAUGGAUUUGUUUUCAGCACAUCACAUUGUGAAGGUGGAUGGAAAGAGGGGACUCCUCCGUGGCUUCUCACCUCGUUUCCUAACCAGUGCCAUUUCCACCAUGGUCAGGAGCAACGUUAAACAGCAGGCGGAGCUUCUAGCAAAGAGAGACGACCUUCAGAC